CCUACGGGUGGCAGCAGUGGGGAAUAUUGGACAAUGGGGGCAACCCUGAUCCAGCCAUGCCGCGUGUGUGAAGAAGGCCCUCGGGUUGUAAAGCACUUUCAGUGAGGAAGAACGCCUGGUGGUUAAUACCCAUCAGGAAAGACAUCACUCACAGAAGAAGCACCGGCUAACUCCGUGCCAGCAGCCGCGGUAAUACGGAGGGUGCGAGCGUUAAUCGGAAUUACUGGGCGUAAAGCUCGCGUAGGUGGCUUGAUAAGCCGGUUGUGAAAGCCCCGGGCUCAACCUGGGAACGGCAUCCGGAACUGUCAAGCUAGAGUGCAGGAGAGGAAGGUAGAAUUCCCGGUGUAGCGGUGAAAUGCGUAGAGAUCGGGAGGAAUACCAGUGGCGAAGGCGGCCUUCUGGACUGACACUGACACUGAGGUGCGAAAGCGUGGGUAGCAAACAGGAUUAGAUACCCUGGUAGUC
rnacentral:rRNA from 1 species